rnacentral:miRNA from 1 species
AGAAGAAUCACCUGGGGGUACUCGUUAAAAAUGCAGAUUCUGAUUCUGAAGAUCAAAGGAGGAACCUGAGAAUCUUCUGAAUCUCUAACAAGCUCCCAUGUGAUAUUGAU